AAAAUUAUAUAAUAUGUAUUAUAUCACUUGAAAUUAAAUAUUACGCGCGUUCUAAAAAUUAUAAAUUCGUAAUGCAUUUUGUAUGGAUGCCAUAUGUGGAUCCGAGGAUUCAAGAAUGCGUCUCGAUCGAAUUUUGGCCAAUCGCAACAUUUAGCAUGUCAAAGUGUCAUUGGUUGUUUUUGCAACGGUCGAGAUGCUCGAAUUCGAUCAAGUCACGUGAUAGUUCAAGUGUAUGCAAUGUAUUCUGCCGUCACCCCAAGAGCUUGAUGACCUACACAAGAUCGACUUGUGGAGAAGACUCGAGGAAGAUUGACCAACAUUCCACAAAAAGUAUAUCGAGAUGUGGGAGCGUAGCUUCAAAGAGGAGUAGGCAACAUCGCCGUAGGAGGCCAAAACGAGGGCGUAUCAAUCCUAGGUCGGGAGAUGGAGACGAAGCGGGAUUGACAUUUGCCCCAUUUGCACUGGAGGACCAGAUUGCCGUGCAACCUCUUGGGAUAUAUUAUGCAUGACUGCCACCUACCGUGCCAUAUCAAAUGUCGACCUCACCAACAACACCAACACAUCCAAUAUCACCUUCAAUUCCCACCUUCUAUAGUGGCCUGUCGAUAGUGUUGCAAACACUCUUAACAUUGUUGUUCUACCAAGGUGAGUCAUCUUUGCAACCGUUGACUCAACCUAGGGGGGCCCACAAUAGGCGGUUAGGACAUGAUCGUAGUCAACCACGGAGGAAGGAGACGAAGUUAGUGAUCAACCUCGACGUGUAGGGGUGAAGCCGAAGUCUACAAGGAGCCGCCAAACCAAAUAAUACGAUGGAACCCUAGGCAUGCCCGACACCCACCCGAUUGUGACAAACAUUCGGGACACCCAUGAUUACGUAAUUUUGUAAUUUUUUAUGUACUUUAUUUUACAUUCGAAAUGUAUACUUAUUUAUAAUGUACAAAACAAAUUUAUAAUUUUGCAAACACUGGAAAUGUUUGAAGGAGACGCGCAAUGCGCCAUCAACAAAUUUCAAUUUUGUCUUA